rnacentral:lncRNA from 1 species
AACCCCAUUUCUAUGAAAAAUACAAAAAUUAGCCAGGCGUGGUGGCACACGCCUGUAGUUCCAGCUACUUGGGAGGCUGAGACAGGAGAAUUGCUUGAACCUGGGAGGCGGAGGUUGCAGCGAGCCGAGAUCAUCGCACCACUGCAUUCCAGCCUGGUAUCUACCCGAGAGCUGGAAAUAUAUAUCUACAAAAAGACUUGGUUCUUUCACAGGUGAGAAAAAUGAGGAUUGGAGAAAUCAAAGUCACUUGCUCAAGGUCACAUAGGACGUAAGUACUGUACGGAGAAGGAUUCAACUAAACAACAGAGCCCAGAGCCUGAGUUUUCAGCUAUGAUCUCCCUCAGU